AGAGCAGAAGUGUGUUAAGACGUAUUUAAAAGGUAGAACAUCUUCAAGCCCAAACUAUACAUAUAAAAUGGAACUGUCAACACACAACUUUAAAAGUUCACUCUAUGAACAACUUUAGCAAGUCAUACCCCAAGGCCUACUUCACCUGCCCAGAGGGUAUUGCAUGCUGUCAUCUAAUGUUCUCGGCUUGCUGUCAAACUACGCAAUCAGCAGCACCAACGGCAACCGCACCGGCGGCAACAACGGCAGCAAGUCAUGUUAUCAGCACACACACACAGUGAGUGCAAACACGAGCACAGUGGCUGACAAAAGCAUGCACCCACAAGCUGUUCGCUGUUCUCAGCUUGCCUGAAUUUUCUUGCCAAGUGCCAACGAACUCGCUCUCGGCAAAAAGCAAACAGCAAACAGAACGCAAAAUGCGAGAAACGUAAAACCUGCAGCUGCAUAAUCACUAAUCACUGAGCGUUAUGAGAGUGCCGAACACAGCAACGAGCGCAGCGAGCACAGCAAACAACGUGAGUGCCAAGACAAGACGUGAGAGACGACGAGAUGCAGCCACCAGCAACAGCAGUAGCAAGCAUUGGGGCAAGGCCAGAACAACGGCCGCAUUCUCAGCAUAGUUCUUCGAGUGGUUUGCCAUACAAAUCAAAAUUAGACCUAUUUUAUCUAACGACUUUGAAGUACCCUGUGGAAAAUUGUGUUGCUCUAAUGAAAUUAAAAUUGUUC